GACAGAGGGUGCAAACGUUGUUCGGAAUUACUGGGCAUAAAGAGCACGUAGGUGGUGCGCUAAGUCACGUGUGAAAUCCCCCGGCUCAACCGGGGAAUGGCGCGUGAUACUGGCGGACUCGAGGCGGGUAGGGGUGAGCGGAACUCCAGGUGGAGCGGUGAAAUUCGUAGAUAUUCGCAAGAACACCAGUGGCGAAGGCGGCUCACUGGCCCGGUACUGACGCUGAGGUGCGAAAGCGUGGGGAGCAAACAGG
rnacentral:rRNA from 1 species